AGCUCCAAUAGCGUACAUUAAAGUUGUUGCGGUAAAAAAGCUCGUAGUUGGAUUUCUACUGAGGAUGGCCGGUCCGCACUACGUGCGUGUAUCUGGUUCAGCCUCGGUAUCCUCUCGGGGAGCGUUGCUGCGCUUCAUUGCGUGGCGCGAGACUCGGGACUUUUACUUUGAGGAAAUUAGAGUGUUCACGGCAGGCAAUCGCCUGAAUAUGUUAGCAUGGAAUAAUAAGAUAGGACCUUUG
rnacentral:rRNA from 1 species